rnacentral:rRNA from 1 species
GACGAACGCUGGCGGCGUGCCUAAUACAUGCAAGUAGAACGCUGAAGGAGGAGCUUGCUUCUCUGGAUGAGUUGCGAACGGGUGAGUAACGCGUAGGUAACCUGCCUGGUAGCGGGGGAUAACUAUUGGAAACGAUAGCUAAUACCGCAUAAUAGCAGUUGUUGCAUGACAACUGUUUGAAAGGUGCAAUUGCACCACUACCAGAUGGACCUGCGUUGUAUUAGCUAGUUGGUGGGGUAACGGCUCACCAAGGCGACGAUACAUAGCCGACCUGAGAGGGUGAUCGGCCACACUGGGACUGAGACACGGCCCAGACUCCUACGGGAGGCAGCAGUAGGGAAUCUUCGGCAAUGGACGGAAGUCUGACCGAGCAACGCCGCGUGAGAGAAGAAGGUUUUCGGAUCGUAAAGCUCUGUUGUAAGAGAAGAACGAGUGUGAGAGUGGAAAGUUCACACUGUGACGGUAUCUUACCAGAAAGGGACGGCUAACUACGUG